rnacentral:tRNA from 1 species
GCCAGUGUAGCGGAAUCGGUAAACGCGUCGUUCUUAGAAAACGAAACUUGAAGGUUCGAGUCCUUUCACUGGCA